UACGUAGGGUGCAAGCGUUAAUCGGCAUUACUGGGCGUAAAGCGUGCGCAGGCGGCUUUGCAAGACAGAUGUGAAAUCCCCGGGCUCAACCUGGGAACUGCAUUUGUGACUGCAAGGCUAGAGUACGGUAGAGGGGGAUGGAAUUCCGCGUGUAGCAGUGAAAUGCGUAGAUAUGCGGAGGAACACCGAUGGCGAAGGCAAUCCCCUGGACCUGUACUGACGCUCAUGCACGAAAGCGUGGGGAGCAAACAGG
rnacentral:rRNA from 1 species